UACAGAGGUCUCAAGCGUUGUUCGGAUUCAUUGGGCGUAAAGGGUGCGUAGGCGGCGCGGUAAGUCGGGUGUGAAAUCUCGAGGCUCAACCUCGAGCGGUCGUUGGAUACCGCCUGGCUAGAGUCCGGAAGAGGAGAGUGGAAUUCCUGGUGUAGCGGUGAAAUGCGCAGAUAUCAGGAAGAACACCCAUGGCGAAAGCAGCUCUCUGGGACGGUACUGACGCUGAGGCGCGAAAGCGUGGGGAGCGAACAGG
rnacentral:rRNA from 1 species